rnacentral:rRNA from 1 species
GACGUAGGGCGCGAGCGUUGUCCGGAUUUAUUGGGCGUAAAGAGCUCGUAGGCGGCUUGUCGCGUCGACUGUGAAAACCCACGGCUUAACUGUGGGCUUGCAGUCGAUACGGGCAGGCUAGAGUUCGGUAGGGGAGACUGGAAUUCCUGGUGUAGCGGUGAAAUGCGCAGAUAUCAGGAGGAACACCGGUGGCGAAGGCGGGUCUCUGGGCCGUAACUGACGCUGAGGCGCGAAAGCGUGGGGAGCAAACAGG